GACACGACCGUACCGCAAACCGACACUGGUGCGCGAGAUGAGUAUUCUAAGGCGCUUGAGAGAACUCAGGAGAAGGAACUCGGCAAAUUGACACCGUAACUUCGGAAGAAGGUGUGCCUUUAGUAGGUGAACCUGUACAAGGGGAGCCCAAUGAGGUUGCAAAAAAUCGGUGGCUGCGACUGUUUAAUAAAAACACAGCACUCUGCAAACACGAAAGUGGACGUAUAGGGUGUGACGCCUGCCCGGUGCUGGAAGAUUAAAUGAUGGGGUGCAAGCUCUUGAUUGAAGUCCCAGUAAACGGCGGCCGUAACGAUAACGGUCCUAAGGUAGCGAAAUUCCUUGUCGGGUAAGUUCCGACCUGCACGAAUGGCGUAACGAUGGCCACACUGUCUCCUCCUGAGACUCAGCGAAGUUGAAAUGUUUGUGAUGAUGCAAUCUCCCCGCGGAAAGACGGAAAGACCCCAUGAACCUUUACUGUAGCUUUGUAUUGGACUUUGAACAGAUCUGUGUAGGAUAGGUGGGAGGCUUUGAAGUGUGGUCGCUAGAUCGCAUGGAGCCAACGUUGAAAUACCACCCUGGUGUGUUUGAGGUUCUAACCUAGGCCCGUAAUCCGGGUCGGGGACAGUGCAUGGUAGGCAGUUUGACUGGGGCGGUCUCCUCCCAAAGCGUAACGGAGGAGUUCGAAGGUACGCUAGGUACGGUCGGACAUCGUUCUAAUAGUGCAAUGGCAUAAGCGUGCUUAACUGCGAGACUGACAAGUCGAGCAGAUGCGAAAGCAGGACAUAGUGAUCCGGUGGUUCUGUAUGGAAGGGCCAUCGCUCAACGGAUAAAAGGUACUCUGGGGAUAACAGGCUGAUACCGCCCAAGAUUUCAUAUCGACGGCGGUGUUUGGCACCUCGAUGUCGGCUCAUCUCAUCCUGGGGCUGUAGCCGGUCCCAAGGGUAUGGCUGUUCGCCAUUUAAAGAGGUACGUGAGCUGGGUUUAAAACGUCGUGAGACAGUUUGGUCCCUAUCUUCCGUGGGCGCUGCAGAUUUGAGGAAGCCUGCUCCUAGUACGAGAGGACCGGAGUGGACACACCUCUGGUGUAUCGGUUGUCACGCCAGUGGCAUUGCCGAGUAGCUAUGUGUGGAAGAGAUAACCGCUGAGAGCAUCUAAGCGGGAAACUCGUUUCAAGAUGAGAUCUGCCGGGGCCUUGAGCCCCCUAAAGAGUCGUUCAAGACCAGGACGUUGAUAGGUCGGGUGUGGAAGCGCAGUAAUGCGUUAAGCUAACCGAUACUAAUUGCUCGUGCGGCUUGAGCAA
rnacentral:rRNA from 1 species